rnacentral:misc_RNA from 1 species
CCCGGUUGUAGAUGUAUCUCUCCAGGAAGCGCUGUGUCCCAUUAAACGCGUAGCAUUCCUGCCGUAACUGGUACACCGGACCAUGUGUCAACUUAUGCCGCGUUUGUACAGACGCAUAGACCAACAGGGGAGUUUAUGUUUGAAUUUGAUGAAGAUGAGAUGUUCUAUGUGGAUCUGGACAAGAAGGAGACCGUCUGGCAUCUGGAGGAGUUUGGCCAAGCCUUUUCCUUUGAGGCUCAGGGCGGGCUGGCUAACAUUGCUAUAUUGAACAACAACUUGAAUACCUUGAUCCAGCGUUCCAACCACACUCAGGCCACCAACGAUCCCCCUGAGGUGACCGUGUUUCCCAAGGAGCCUGUGGAGCUGGGCCAGCCCAACACCCUCAUCUGCCACAUUGACAAGUUCUUCCCACCAGUGCUCAACGUCACGUGGCUGUGCAACGGGGAGCUGGUCACUGAGGGUGUCGCUGAGAGCCUCUUCCUGCCCAGAACAGAUUACAGCUUCCACAAGUUCCAUUAC